GACGAACGCUGGCGGCGUGCUUAACACAUGCAAGUCGAACGGAAAGGCCCUGCUUUUGUGGGGUGCUCGAGUGGCGAACGGGUGAGUAACACGUGAGUAACCUGCCCUUGACUUUGGGAUAACUUCAGGAAACUGGGGCUAAUACCGGAUAGGAGCUCCUGCUGCAUGGUGGGGGUUGGAAAGUUUCGGCGGUUGGGGAUGGACUCGCGGCUUAUCAGCUUGUUGGUGGGGUAGUGGCUUACCAAGGCUUUGACGGGUAGCCGGCCUGAGAGGGUGACCGGCCACAUUGGGACUGAGAUACGGCCCAGACUCCUACGGGAGGCAGCAGUGGGGAAUAUUGCACAAUGGGCGGAAGCCUGAUGCAGCAACGCCGCGUGCGGGAUGACGGCCUUCGGGUUGGAAACCGCUUUCGCCUGUGACGAAGCGUGAGUGACGGUAAUGGGUAAAGAAGCAACGGCUAACUACGUG
rnacentral:rRNA from 1 species